rnacentral:misc_RNA from 1 species
UACGAACCGUCCAAACGUUAUUCGGAAUCACUGGGCUUACAGAGUUCGUAGGCGGCGGAGAAAGUAGGGUGUGAAAGCCCUCGGCUCAACCGAGGAACAGCGCCCUAAACUACUUCGCUUGAGGAGGCUAGAGGUGAGCAGAACAGAUGGUGGAGCGGUGAAAUGCGUUGAUAUCAUCUGGAAUACCGGAGGCGAAGGCGGCUCACUGGGACCUUUCUGACGCUGAGGAACGAAAGCUAGGGUAGCGAACGGG